UGCAAAACAAAACGAGUACGUGUCUUUGAGACUUCAAAUUAUAUUUUGUUCAAAAAAUUUUCAAUUUUAAUUAUUUUUUAAAUGUUUUCAUUAAAAAUUGUCAAGAUUAUUUUUUUAUUAUUUUAUGUGAUUUUAUAUACUAAAACACAAAAUACUACAAAAAUAAAAAUAUUACAAUUAGAUACAUUACUAAAUUAUCCGGGAUGGAAAAUUUUGAACGAUGUGUACUCUAUAAAAUAUUUGAAUAAAAAAUAUUAUCUUAAAAGUCUAAUUGAAAUACCUACAAAUCGGUCAAAAUGUAUACAAAAGAUACGAGCCUUGACUAUAUAUCUUGGAUGUACAUAUGGUAAAGUUAUGAAUAAUCUUUUUUCAAUUAUUAUCAACAUGAUAACAAUUUGUCAAGAAAAAAUUCUUGGAGAACACGAUUUCUUAAAUGGAUGCAUUUAUACCGAAGAACUCAUAGACUUAAUAGCCACUUUUAUUGUUCCAACAGCAACAUUGAUGAAAAAUGCAAUGGAUGCUUUAGAUUUAUUACAUGACAAACCAUGGUUUACUUUUACAAGGAAUCAAAAACAUUACUACAUAAUGAGUCCUUUAUUAGAAACAAUAGCAAAUGUUCUUCACAAAUUAAAUGAAAGAUCUCUAUCACGUGACAAUAUAUCUACAUACUUUUGGAUAUUAGAUACUGUGUUUGAUUUUUUUCUUAAAAUUAUAAAAAAUAUAAAAAAAGAAAUGCUAUACUAUUGUACAUUUGUACCUUAUGAUACGAAUUAUUUAUGGAAUGAAUGGAAUCAAGAAUAUAAAAUUAUUAUUGACCAAGGCAUAAAAUUAAUAUUUUUCAAAUUCUUAAUAAGGAAAAUUAAAAAUUAUAUCAAGACAGAAAUUAUAGAAAAGUAUUUCCAACUGGGAUUUAAAUAUGAUUCAAUAACUGAAGAAACGUUUGUCCCAAAACCAAAGGAGCUAAUUGAACUAGAUGAAGUUAAUCGACUUGAAGAAGAAUUGAAGAGGUUAGUAGUGGAUGCUGGUAUCGAAGUUAAUAAAGUCAAAUUAAUUUACGAUACAAAAUUUCAAGAAGUCAUUAAAGAAACCCAGCGUUUGCAAAUGGAAAAGAAAACAGCCGAACGAGAUUUAGAAAAAAAAACUAAAGAAUAUGCCGAUUUGACAAAAAAAUAUGAAUCAGUCCCCCAAGAAUGUGUCUUACCACCUUUAUUUCAUUUGGAAGAGAGAUCUUUGAUGGAUGAAGUUGAUGACUAUAAAAUCGAAAGUGAAAAAAUUAUGAAUGAAGUAGAAUUCAUAAAAAAAGCAUUUAUGCAAGAUGUAGAAAAUUUCCAAAGAAAAUCGGCAAGAUACAAAAUGGAAAUAAUGAUUUUAUAAGAUAAAGAAGAAUCAUUAAAAAAACAAUUAAACAGCGCCAUGCGUCAAAUAGCGGAAGAUAAAAAUGAGUUAUUAGAAACAACUGAUCGUAUUAAAGUUUUGGAGAUGGAAAUUAACAAAUCGUGGAAUAAUGAAAUGAGUGAUAUUACAAAAAGUUUAAAAAAUAAAAUUGUUUUAAAUUAAAAUUAAAUAAUAGACAGUUUAUCAGAAAAACAUGAAACUAAAAAAAAUGAUUAAUAUUUCUAGAUAUAACUACCGCUUUAAAAUGAAAAAAAGUCUACCAUUUCAGGAAAAAAUGUAAGGAGGUAAAUUUUAAUUUUUGCAUUGCAUUAAAAUAAUUUUUUUUAAGGUACCAAUCCAAAUUAACAGACGUGUCUUCUUCAGCAUAAUAACACCUAUUAUAAAACUAAUUAUGUUGAAUUUUUGGUUUUAUAAAAACAAAGAAUUAAUUACAAAUAUUAUAUUUAAAUAGCAACUAACAAUAUUAAUACAAAAUAAUUAUGCAAUUUUUUUAAAAAUAGUUUUUAAAAUUUAACAUUGUUAUUCUAUUUUUUACAAAUAUUUUGUUAACAAUUGUCU